CUUCGUGGACACAGCCUUGUUCUUUGUGGACACACCUUGUUCUACGUGGACAGAGCCUUGUUCUACAUGGACACAGCCUUGUUCCACGUGGACAGAGCCUUGUUCUUCUUGGACACAGCCUUGUUCUACAGGAACACAGCCUUGUUCUACGUGGACUCAGCCUUGUUCUUUGUGGACACAGCCUUGUUCUAUGUGGACAGAGCCUUGUUCUACAUGGACACAGCCUUGUUCCACGUGGACAGAGCCUUGUUCUUUGUGGACACAGCCUUGUUCCACGUGGACAGAGCCUUGUUCUUUGUGGACACAGCCUUGUUCUAUGUGGACAGAGCCUUGUUGUAUGUGGACACAGCUUUGUUCUACAGGAACACAGCCUUGUUCUGUGUGGACAGAGCCUUGUUCUUCGUGGAUACAGCCUUGUUCUUUGUGGACAUGCCUUGUUCUAUGUGGACAGAGCCUUGUUCUUCAUGGACACAGCCUUGUUCUUUGUGGACACGCCUUGUUCUUUGUGGACACAGCCUUGUUCUAUGUGGACAGAGCCUUGUUCUACAUGGACACAGCCUUGUUCUACAGGAACACAGCCUUGUUCUACGUGGACUCAGCCUUGUUCUUUGUGGACACAGCCUUGUUCUAUGUGGACACAGCCUUGUUCCACGUGGACAGAGCCUUGUUCUUUGUGGACACAGCCUUGUUCUAUGUGGACAGAGCCUUGUUGUAUGUGGACACAGCCUUGUUCUACAGGAACACAGCCUUGUUCUGUGUGGACAGAGCCUUGUUCUUCGUGGACACAGCCUUGUUCUACGUGGACAUAGCCUUGUUCUUUGUGGACACAGCCUUGUUCUAUGUGGAAAGAGCCUUGUUCUUCGUGGACACAGCCUUGCUCUUCUUGGAUGCAUCCUCCCGCAUGGACACACCCUUGCUUGCAUAGAGGCGUCCUUGUCUGGACACGCCAUACUCUGCACAGGCACCGCCUUGCUCUGCGUAGGUGCAUUUUAUUCCACACGGAGUCAUCCUUGUUCCUUAGACUUCACUCUGUUCUACCCGUCUUUUCCCGUGUAGUGCAACGUGAUGUGACUUGAUCCUGGUGACCCAUCGACUGUAAUUAAAAUUCACCCC
rnacentral:lncRNA from 13 species